rnacentral:rRNA from 1 species
UGUUGCGGUUGAAAGCUCGUAGUUGGGUUUCUGCGGAGGAAGCGCGGUCCGCACUUGGUGCGUGUAUCUGGUCUACCUACGCAUCUUCCAGUGAAACGCUACUGCGCUUUAUUGCGUGGCGCGGCAAUCUGGACUUUUACUUUGAGGAAAUUGGAGUGUUUACAGCGAGCGAUUGGUUUGAACAUAUUAGCAUGGAAUAAUAACCUAGAACCUUGGUUCUAUUUUGUUGGUUUCUAGACUAGGGUAAUGAUCAAUAGGGAUAAUUGGGGGCAUUUGUAUCAACACGUCAGAGGUGAAAUUCUUGGAUUGUGUUACGACGAACCACUGCGAAAGCAUUUGCCAAGGAUGUUUUCAUUGAUCAAGAACGAAAGUGCAGGGAUCGAAGACGAUUAGAUACCGUCGUAUUUUGCACCGUAAACUAUGCCGAUUAAAGAUUGGAGGUCGUUCUUAUUGUGGCUCCUUCAGUAAUUUAUGAGAAAUCAAAAUUCUUGGGUUCCGGGGGGAGUAUGGUCGCAAGGCUGAAACUUAAAGGAAUUGACGGAAGGGCACCACCAGGAGUGGAGCCUGCGGCUUAAUUUGACUCAACACGGGGAAACUCACCAGGUCCAGACAUAGCAAGGAUUGACAGAAUGACAGCUCUUUCUUGAUUCUGUGGGUGGUGGUGCAUGGCCGUUCUUAGUUGGUGGAGUGAUUUGUCUGGUUAAUUCCGUUAACGAACGAGAUCUUAUCCUGCUAAAUAGGAACGUGUGUCUUCGGACAUGCAGGUUGCUUCUUAGAGGGACUUUGCGAAUUGAAGCGUAGGGAAGGUUGAGGCAAUAACAGGUCUGUGAUGCCCUUAGAUGUUCUGGGCUGCACGCGCGCUACACUGAUGCGUUCAACGAGUAUGCCUUGUCCGGCAGGACUGGGGAAUCUUGUGAAAGCGCGUCGUGAUGGGGAUAGAACACUGUAAUUAUUGU